AAGUCGUAACAAGGUAACCGUAGGUGAACCUGCGGUUGGAUCAUUAAAAAAUUCCAACUAAAAGACAGUCUCUCGGGGCUGUUCUUUUAAACACCUUUGUGAACCGUUUAUUGUCUCUGGUGGGUUAAAAGGUCGAAAGACUGGUUUAGCCGCCACCCACCGAUUUAAACUCUUUAUUAUUAACAGUCUUUAAACCGUUUUGAAUUCUUUGAAUUAAAAACAACUUUUGACAACGGAUCUCUUGGUUCUC
rnacentral:misc_RNA from 1 species